rnacentral:misc_RNA from 1 species
UGGCCCGCUGUCAAAGUACAAUAAGUACAUUUUCAUGAAAGAAGAGUUGAAUUUAUUGCCGAUUUUGCGAUUUCGCGUGAAAAUCUUCGUAUUUUUGUGAAAAUGUAUUAUUAGUGUUCGUUUUAAGUUCACAUAACAAUGGCUUUUGAGUGCGUUAUUGUGAAAGAAGAGCCGAAUUUGAAGGAGGACGGUGAUAAUGAGGUUUCUUCUGAAACCGCUAGUCAAAAUGGGGCCGAUGCCGAAAAAAAUAUUAUUAAAGUAGAAAUUGAAGUUGAAGCACCGACUGUAAGAAUAAAACCAGAGCCACUCGACCCUCAACCCUCCACUCCCCCUCGUUCUCCAUCAGACCCCUCGUGGCACGCGCCAUGCCAGGAGGGGUCAACCGUCCCAGCUACUGAAGAAGUCACCAAUAUCCUGCCUGAGAAGUACAUACAGGUCUCUAUUAAGGAGGAGGUGGAUUCUGAUGAUAUAACAAACGCCUCAUCAACUGUAGAAGAACACACAAAGGAAGGUCCGGAUGUGGGUCAAACAUCUGCAGAGAACAUAGUUAUGGACAUUGAGAAUAAGAAUGCAGAAUCAAUGACCUCUACCAGUAAAGCCCUAGAACCAAAGAGGAAGAGAGUAGACAUGGACUGCGGAUCUAAAACCCAGAAAAAAAGGAAAUUUAGAAAUGAAGCUUGGAGCCCAGCUAUUUUAAAAAGCAACUUGGAUUUUAAGAAAAGGCAGUUGGCGAUAUUAGAAGCGGAACACUCAGACAAAGUAGAAAUACAAAAAUUAAAAAUUAGAAAGCUCCAAUUAGAAAUAGCUAUGUUGGAGUGGAGCACUCUUAAUGUAAAAAUGUAAAAUGUACUUGUUUCCGAAGGCACGAUGAAUGAGGGCUACCGCGUAUGAAAUCGCCGCGAGGGGCGCUCGUGUUGCGUGAGGUCAUCGAAACGUCAAAUGUCACUGUUUCUUUACGCGCGCGGGUUUAUAUUUCUAAUUAAAUUAAUAUUUUGCCGGAGGAAGUGCCCCCCGAGGAUCCACCUUCAGAUGACCUGAACAUCGAGAGCUUCAAGAGGAACGAAAAUAAUGGUAAAUUUUCAUCAUUAUACUAAUAAAGAAAUAAAAAAAAUAAAAAACAAAAAGCCAAAAAGAAAUACAACAAAAUGAAGGCUAAAUAUUGGCGUGUCUAUCACUCGCAAAUGGUUGGAUGGAUUUUGAUGAAACUUAGGAUAUGUAGGCUAUAUUUUAUUAUCUGGUUGCGGAAAUUAGUUUGCACAGGGUGUGGGCGAAACCUCUGGAGGAAGCUAGUCCUACCAUAAUGCUUUAGUAGCAAGAUUCCGAUUGACUAAAAAUAAUUGGAAAAUGAACCCGAGUUGCAGGGUGCCGAUAAUAACGUAUAUUAAAAUAUAGCACAAACACAACACAACGUCACAGACAUUUGACAUCAAACACAGUAAUUUGAACAAGCCAAUGUGACAGAUUAUUAUUGUAUGUGGCCAGUAAGGGCCACAAGGUAUCCUUCAACAAUAAUUUCUUCUGCCUUCAGAAAAAGGCUUUUUUAACAUAAAAAUUG